GCGGCCCGCAAUGGAGCGGCCCCAGUGCAGGAAGGCACCGCGGAAGAAGCGCCACUUGUCCCCGCUACCGAGGGCGGCCUUGCUGCCGGGCGGAGUCGUCGGCCGGACCGAUGCCUCCCAGCGCUGCCGGCGCCGCCUCUUCGACAGCGGGACCCCCCGCGGGCCGAAGUCCGGCAACCUGAAGAGAAAGCCCUGUGUGAAAACCCUCCCCAAAAUUACAGAAAGCUUUGAAGUCACCCAAGUGAGAGAUUCGCACAACCCAAGCAAUCAAAUGAAUGUCAAAGAAACAACAGACCUGGAUAAAAGAGAAGAGGCAGCUGAAGAAAGCAGUGUACCGCUGAAGGAGUCCCUGAUAAUCAACAACGAAAGUAAAGACAGUUUGAAAAAUGCUGAUGUGACUUCAAGUGCAGGAAUGACUCUUCCCACAGGCGUUACAACCUAUCUCCUAGAGUGUUUAGAUGUAGAUUCAACUGUAGAUUGUAACACAGGUCCUAGUGACAACCUGAACAGUUGCCCAUCCCCUGAAAUAUUCAGAGAUGAUGAUUCAGAAAGAAGUUAUUUUCACACUGAGAACUUCAGCAAGUGCAAGAACUCUACUCUCCUGGAUUCCAGCAAAGCAGUGGCUAUAGAUAAGAUGCCACAGAUCUCACAUCUGUCAGCAAUAUUAGAACCUGUACCGGAGGAUUUUCAAGGCCAGGGCGCUAGAAGGUAAUCUGCAAAACAGGCUUUUUAAUGCACCAAAAUGUUCAGGUUUUUCUCUUUUGAAUGCUAUUUCAAAGAAAGGCCAAUAUGAAUAAGCCUCUGAUUCUACAGACGAUUCUGUUGAGUUUUAGCUACCUGUGUCCUCACUAACUUUGAAAUUGGUACAUUAAGCCAGGUCAGAGUUUGCCUUAGAAGCUUCUGUUUUGGUCUUGCAGGUGUAGGGAACUCAGGGUAAGAAAACUCAGUGAAAGAUGUUAUGGAAGGGAAGCUGAGGUUUGUGUACAGAAUCCCCAAAUAAGUUGCUUUUAUCCGAUUGCUCUUCUGCUGUCAGAUUUAUUCAGUCACAGGCAGCAAGAUGUGUGUGCCCAGGUCUGGCCAGGAUUGCCCAUGCAGUGCAGAGGAUGAAGGGUACCUGUUGUCAGGUCCGUGUUUAGUCUCUGGUGUUCUGUGCUUGCCAAGGACAAAAGUAGGUCUUGGGCAGAUCUUUUCUGUUCUUUGCUCCUUUGCUUCAGAAUCUUGCUUGACUUCAGCCUUCAUUAACCUUGGAUCAGGUUGCUGCCUGCUGUCAGGUUUUUUAUUCAGAGGACAUGUCUACCAGAAGCAGAAUAUGGUGUAUGCGAUAGCUGUGACCCUGUUGCCACCCUCCUGUUGUUAGGAUGCCAGGUUUCCUGUUGACAAGUCAUCUGUGGUGUGGUUUUAUCACAGUGAAGGGUCUUCCACACUUGGCCUUGUCACAGCGCUGCCAUCAGGUCCUGAUAUUAAAACCUGAGGGUUUUUAUAGCAACAGUAUCAUUUCUUGUAACCCUUGUACUGCUGUUUCCAGUCUUCCACACAAACAUUUGCAUUCAUAACACAUUUAUACCAAUCCUAAUGUUACAGAUCUCUGCACAAUUCAAUCUGAAUUUUCUUGUGAGCCUAAUUUUCCCCUGCAUGUUCCUCAAACAUAUUUUGUCCUAAUGUGCUUCAGUGCUGAGUACUUUGAUGAAUGUGUCUCAAAUACCGAGUAUCUU
rnacentral:lncRNA from 14 species